rnacentral:rRNA from 1 species
AGCAGCCGCGGUAAUUCCAGCUCCAAUAGCGUAUAUUAAAGUUGUUGCAGUUAAAAAGCUCGUAGUUGAAUUUCGGGGUCAGUAGGUUGGUCGUGCCACUGGUAUGCACUGGUCUCACUGAUUCCUCCUUCCGGAUGAACCGUAAUGCCAUUAAUUUGGUGUUGCGGGGAGUCUGGACUGUUACUUUGAAAAAAUUAGAGUGUUUAAAGCAGGCUAACGCUUGAAUACAUUAGCAUGGAGUAAUGAAAUAGGACGAUCGAUCCUAUUUUGUUGGUUUCUAGGAUUGACGUAAUGAUUAAUAGGGAUAGUUGGGGGCAUUAGUAUUCAAUUGUCAGAGGUGAAAUUCUUGGAUUUAUUGAAGACUAACUACUGCGAAAGCAUUUGCCAAGGAUGUUUUCAUUAAUCAAGAACGAAAGUUAGGGGAUCGAAGACGAUCAGAUACCGUCGUAGUCUUAACCAUAAACUAUGCCGACUAGGGAUCGGAUGAUGUUAAUUUUUUUAAUGUACUCAUUCGGCGUAC